GAUGAACGCUGGCGGCGUGCCUAAUACAUGCAAGUCGAGCGAAUGACGAGGAGCUUGCUCCUCUGAUUUAGCGGCGGACGGGUGAGUAACACGUGGGUAACCUGCCUGUAAGACGGGGAUAACUCCGGGAAACCGGAGCUAAUACCGGAUGAUAACGAGAAGCGCCUGCUUCUUUUUUGAAAGUUGGUUUCGGCUGACGCUUACAGAUGGGCCCGCGGCGCAUUAGCUAGUUGGUGAGGUAACGGCUCACCAAGGCGACGAUGCGUAGCCGACCUGGGAGGGUGAUCGGCCACACUGGGACUGAGACACGGCCCAGACUCCUACGGGAGGCAGCAGUAGGGAAUCUUCGGCAAUGGACGAAAGUCUGACCGAGCAACGCCGCGUGAGCGAUGAAGGCCUUCGGGUCGUAAAGCUCUGUUGUCAGAGAAGAACAAGUACCGGAGUAACUGCCGGUACCUUGACGGUACCUGACCAGAAAGCCACGGCUAACUACGUGCCAGCCGCCGCAGUAAAAC
rnacentral:rRNA from 1 species